rnacentral:tRNA from 1 species
GCUCGUAUGGCGCAGUGGUAGCGCASAGAUUGCHAAUCUGUUGGUCCUUAUGUUCGAACCUGAGUGCGAGCU